AGUGACAAAUUCAUGUAUCAUCGGAUGACUUGAUAAACCAGUGAGAGCUUGUCUCCAGCACCAGAGACCUUCCAGCGUUUGUCUCCAGCUUCUCCAACAUAUCAAACAGCUCAAGGAGGCUGCUAACACAGGCUAGAUGGAUCCCAUUCCUGUGCCUGCUGCUCUCCAUUUUAAAAGAGGACCCAAAAUGAGUAGCUCUGAUGUAGACAUCAGCUGUGCAGCUAUCCAAGCUCAGUCUUCCCACUGUUUCCAUCCAUAGAAAAGCAAAGUGCUUCCUGCAGAGACCAGCACAGUCUCCUGCCUCUCGGUGAUCUGGGGAACGCGUGCUCAGAUGGCCAUUUCAGAAGUGACAGGACUUGGCAAACACUUUGUUUCUUCAGCAGUACUGUAGGCUGACCUUAUCUGGACUCCCUACCAGCUGUGGGGGCAGUAACCUCAGAUGCACCAAACAGCCAAAGCUGGUACAGUGCUGCAGCACCUGUCCAAACAGAGUUUUUCUGCCAGUUGUUCCUGGUUCUGUUCUGGUCCUCCUUUUACCUGUAAAUGAGCCCUUAUACAUGAACCAAUGCAUUCACAAACACAGGGCCAUGGUUAGUGGGCACAGUGAUGAUGGAUCAAUGGUUAGACUAGAUGAUUGUGAUGGUCUUUUCCAACAUCAGUGAUUCUGUAGAUCCUGUGGAGACUAGAAGGUAUGCACUGCACCUUCAUCACCACUUUGCACAUCUGAAAUCCAUUUUACCUCUUUGUAGAAUGUUUAUGUUGUCAGUGCCGGAGAAACAUAAACCCUAAACUAUUAGAAAACUAAUUUGGUUGCAGUCUGUACCCACUCAGGUAGGGGGGAAAAAUAAAGAAACUACGGUCAAGUGAUGAAAGAGAGAGUCAAAAUAAGGUAUUUAAAUUGCUAUUUAUUGCAAAUUAAUAUUAAAAGCAGAUCCAAAAAUUCUGUUGUGUGCAGCAACAGUCAACUCUAAUUCUUUCAGCUGAUCUCUCCUUCCCUGUAUUUUUGUUUAGUAAGUAACCCGUCAGCUCUGAUCAGGAGUGGGAUUUGUUAGUGCUGAGGCAACAAACAGCCCCACAGCUAGCAGCCCUAUGGGGAGAGGAGUGGCAAGCUGCCAGAGCCUAGCACUCUCUGGCCAGGCCUUUUCAGAUAGUCCACACGUGGAGGGCUUAAUGUUUCAAUACUCAUUUUACCUGCUUGAAGGUAUUUGAUGAAGCAGAGGAUCUUCACGUAGCAGAUAAACUUACUGUAAUCACAACUCAGUAUAGCAAUUGCAGUACGGAUGAGUGACAGUAAAAACAUGAUUCCCAUUACUGACCUCUAUGCACUCGUUGUCAGGAUGUCAGGCAUCCUAAUUGCCAGGAAGGAGCAAGUUGCUUGAAGCCAGCUCAAGCCUGUUGCUUUUUUCCGAGCUAAUUUUGCAGAUUGCUUGGCUUUUGCACUCAGUGUUGGGCUGAACCACGUAGCCACUUGGCCCAUGCUGGUCUGGCUGUCACAUAGACAUUCAUGUUCUUCUGGUGAACUCAAGUGAGGUUAUUCACAGCCCUUGAAUAACUCAACUGACAGAGAUACUUAUCUACACAGAAAAAACAAGCCACCUUCCAGUCCCCAUGGUGCUAAGUUUGUCUUCCUUUACAAUAGAUGUGGUCACUCCCUAUAAUUUACACAAGGAAAAGCACAUUUUCCUUGCCCAUAUCCUGAAGAUUCUCCAUUGUAGAGGUUUGUUGGCCAUUCACAUAAACCUGACAUAGUGCAGAGAAACACUUUAGAGGGCAGAUAAUUUGAGUUCUUCAGACAGAUGACAAGAUUAGGAAAACAUGAGAUAAAAACUCUUUUAUCUGUCAAGCUGUGCAGUUGGUCUUUGGUACAAAGACGGGGAACAGCUAUGCAGUUCUACCAGGCAAAGUGAGAAAAUUAGGAGGAAACAAACAACAUAAAAUAAAUAAAUAAAUAAAUAGUAAAUAUUUC